ACAGUAUUAAAACUCUGCAAGUAGAUGUAAUAUGAUUGGAAUUCACCAGAGCCAAACUCUUUUACCUAAUGUUUUUGGAUCCUGUUUGUUUCCUGUGUUCUUUGACGGUAAUAUUAAACAUCAUGCUGGUACAAUUUUUAAAAUAGAUUUCUGAAAAGAAUUUUGCAAAUAUUACAUGUUUGGUUUGUUUCAGUAAUAUAAAAUUUAUCUUUCAGAAUAAAGGUGCAUUAUGAAUCUUAGUGUGAUGUACUUGAAAACUAUUAAUAGUCACAACCUAGUUAUUUUUACCUUUCUUUUCUCGAAAGAGAUUUUUUAAAACUAGUAAGUAUAUGGUUUCUCAAUAUGGCUUAAAGCCUACAAAUGGUAAUUUAUCGAAGAGUCUCUUAGAACCUUAACUUUACCAUGAAUCACUGGCUCUUCAUAGAAAAAUAUUGUUCUUUAUUACCAUUUAAUGCUAUUAUUUUCUUAUUAUAUGAUAAGUUAGUAACAUGGCUAUACUUGCUACUAAAAGUGACAUUGCUAAAUAAUA
rnacentral:lncRNA from 1 species